CUCUGUCAAAAGAGAUAUGGUUCAUCAAAGGCUUGGUGAUAUCCAUGUUAAGUGUUAGCAUCUAAGGUUGACUUUUGAAGGUUGAACCAAUAGAAUAAGUGUGCAAGCAUUAUACUAUGACUAUUGGUGGCUAGAGAAAGAUAGAGAGGUUGACUUUGAAGGUUGAACCAAUAGAAUAAGUGUGCAAGCAUUAUACUAUGACUAUUGGUGGCUAGAGAAAGAUAGAGUGUAUCCCGGAAGGUAGUCAUUCGGGCUAAGUUCUAUGAUAUGCAAGUAUUGUUAUUUUUUUUCCAGACCCUAGAGUGUAGUAAGUCUAGUUCAGUUAGAAUUUGGUAAAGGAUCUCCCAAACUCUAGAUAAUGACUUGAAGCUAAGGGG
rnacentral:lncRNA from 1 species